GGGUUUUUAGAAGGGAAUCUGCGAUUGCUGAAAAAAAGAUAAAAAAAGACCGAACACGAUUCCUGUAUUCGGUCCAGGGAAAUGGCUCUUGGGAGAGAGCCGUGCGCUAAAAGUUGGCAUUAAUGCAGGCUAAGUCGCCUUGCCUUAUAAGAAUAGUUUACCGUGUCAGGUUUUCCAGUCCGUGACAAAAGGGAACCAAUAAUUCCUCUCAGGAUUGCGUAUGCCUACAAAAAACCGCCGCUCCCGGAAU
rnacentral:sRNA from 1 species